rnacentral:rRNA from 1 species
GACGAACCGUGCGAACGUUGUUCGGAAUCACUGGGCAUAAAGGGCGCGUAGGCGGCUUAUCAAGUCAGGGGUGAAAUCCGGCAGCUUAACUGUCGAAGUGCCUUUGAUACUGAUGAGCUCGAGGGAGGUAGGGGUGUGCGGAACUUCCGGUGGAGCGGUGAAAUGCGUUGAUAUCGGAAGGAACGCCGGUGGCGAAAGCGGCGCACUGGACCUCUUCUGACGCUGAGGCGCGAAAGCUAGGGGAGCAAACGGG